GGGGCGGAGAGCAAGCGCCCGUCUAAAGGAGCCUGUUUUCUGUUUUAAAACAGCCAGAGGCGACAAUGUUUGCUGCACACGCUUUGCCCCAAAUGGUUGCCAGGUGUGGGAUGAGGAGACGGCAGGAGCCGCCGUGUUCGUGGUGACCGUGCUUUCCGUCGCCUCGUGCAGGGCCAGACGCCUGGACCCGAAGUAAAACCCCCAACACAUGGAAGAUGUUAAUGAAGCAUUUUUUUAUUCUGGAAAGAAGACCACCAGACCACUGAGCACCAGCUUUGAAAACAACAUAAGCUUCCUCUGCCCUGGUCCUUAUCUGUGGCCGUUUUUUUCACUCCUCAAACUAUAAAACCACCUCCCAAGCUCCCCUAAGGGGGGCACCGUCUUUGAGGCAUUAGCCUGCGGUGACCCUCCUUUGCCUGGCAAAGCAAUAAAGCUAUUUUCUUCUCUUUUGCCCAACACUCCGUCUCCAUGUCUCUAUUUGGCACUGGUGGGCAGAGGCCGCAUCCUGGCAACAGUCUCUUUCAAGAAAAGGUUCAAAUCUAGAAGUGAAGAGAGCCAUGAAAAAAUUGUUCUCGUACAGUUUUUAAAGGUCAUUUUGAAAACAUGUUUCAUUUUCUGCCUCAGUGCAGACGCGGGCUUUUCUCUACUCAGUAAGAUCUUUGGCUUAGUUUUAUCAUCGCCAGAAAUAGGAUCUGCGUUCAGGAAAAAUGAAGAUCUGCUGACCCCCAGUUUGUUGUGACGGAAUGAACUCAAAUCUUCAACAGGAACGCAAAUAAAAUGAAUGUUAUUAAUGAAAAACGAGCCUAAAGAGAAUACGUAUGUUUUAUUUCAUAUCUGAGCUGAAAAGAUGACACAUAUCAUAUCAGACAUUCAUUAAGAUCCAGAAAUUUAUUUUAUUGAGCUAUAUUUUAAAUUAUCCUCUUGUCCGCUCCUGAGGGAUCUAGUGUAAGAAACUUUUAUUUCUUUUUGUUUCCAUCACUCUGAGAUCUAUCCUGUGUUAAAACACAGUACGUUGCUAAGAGCAACCUGUGGUCUUGACUUGAGCCAUCCCGGCUUUGCUCUCUCAUUGAAGUUGAAUGCAAUUCUACGGCUCAAUAUGAAUCAGAUGGGAUCUAAAAGUAGACCUGAAACUUCUCCAGAUGGUCAUGUGGAGCUCAGUGGGUGUAGUCCAUCGAGUCUCAAGAUUCUUCCUCACGACUUGUAUCUUCUGGAGAAACUACGUAUCAAAAACCUCAUGAAAAAUAAAAUAUUACCUGCCAUAUCAGUAAACAAGAAUGUCAGUGAUUUCAGCCACCUCAGACAGUGAGCAGAGCCGGUGAGCCCUGAGGGAACUCAGAAAGGAGACAAUACCUGCCAUCUAGCAGCCAUCAGACUCUAGCCACUCCGGAGGGUGAGCCCUGAGGAAAACUGGACGCAAGAACACAGGAUACUGGCCCUAGACAGCUGAGGUGCCUAUCAAAGGAACAAUUGCAGGGAGCCCAGCCUUUGCAUCUUCCUACACUAGAAAAGCUCUAAAAUCCUUGAGCUACCUGCCUUCUUUGAAUAGCAGUAAUCUUUUGCUCUUACUACUUGCCCUUGGUUGCAAAAUUCCUAUACAUCCUAGCUCCCCACUCAUUCAUAUGAGCAGGUUUUCUCAGGGUUACUUGAGAUGCUGCCUCUUGGGCUUAAGUCCUCAUCUCUCCCAGAAUAAAACUUAACGCUCAACUUUUAGGUUACACAUGUAUUUUUUUUUUAGUUGACACUCUCAAUGAGCUAUGUAUGUGUUAUUUGUGACAUAAAUUAUAACACAAUAAUAAUAAAUUAUAAGUUAAAUUCGAAGUGAAGAAUAACUGUUCAGUCAAGUUUAUUCAUUUAGAACGUAGCAUAUUUGGCAUUAAGCUAAAAUGCUAUUGAUAAAUAAAUAAAUAUCAUUAAUAUUUUCAUGGGAUAUUUGUUCCAGAAUUCCAGACGGAUGUUUAAUGGACUUAUACACUAAGAUAUGAACUCCUAUAUUGUGAGAAUUAGGAAGGUUCUCUGAUAAUGCAAAUGAGAGGUCUUUUGGCUGAUUUGAGGUCAAGCCUCUAACUAUCACUUAACUAGUUGAUUAACAAACAAUGUGAAUUAUCCCUUGAUUAAUAACGCACUAUGCUAGCUGUACCCCUAAUUCCACUAGUAUUGAUAACAUUGAAUACAUAAAAUAGCCCAGGUAGAUGUGAUAAAGGAUUGACUGAAGGAAAUCCAAUCCUUGCAUUCAUCUUUAUAAUUGCAAAUUUAUACUUAAAUGGGAAGAAUAACAGAGCACUUUAGACCAGAACCACAAUGAUGUCAACAUCGCAUCCUUAUAAAAUUGUCUUUGCUGAAUCUUCAUUUCUUGUUAUGCAGGACACUAUAUGAAACAACAAGAAAAGUCAAUUGUUUUUAUUACAGAAAAUGCCGUAAGUUAUGACAAUGGGCUGUAUUGGUUAGGUCUUAUGAAAAAUAAAUUCUCCCAACUCAGCAUCAUAUGCAGGACACUAUAUGAAACAACAAGAAAAGUCAAUUGUUUUUAUUACAGAAAAUGCCGUAAGUUAUGACAAUGGGCUGUAUUGGUUAGGUCUUAUGAAAAAUAAAUUCUCCCAACUCAGCAUCAGAAACAUUGAGCCUUUCCAGAACAAGUUGUUUUGGUCAAGCUUUUAUAAAACUAAUAAUUCAGAAGUCUCUCCUUUUUUGUAGACAAAAUGGUUGAAGGAAAAUUUGAAUUCACAUUGUAGCAAUUUUUAAGAAGCAUAACAUGAAUUUCUGUUUCUGUAAUCAGACAAUAUUUCCUUUUUCAUAUUUUACUUGGCCUGAUUUUCACUAAUUAUAUAUAUAUUUUUCUUCUUACUUGUAUUUUUCUGCAACCUAUGUCAAUUUAACAGUUAAGUGAGUGGCAAGGUAAAUAAAUAAACAAUAGUAAAGUAAAAAACAGAUUUGAAUUGGCGCUAAGAUGAUAUGGAGAAUUUCCUAAAUAGUUUGAUUGAAGAGAGACAAUGAUUUUAACUAGAUCAAUCCUCCUUAAAAAAAAAAAAAAGAAUAGUCUGGGACAGAAUAAUCAAAGUCUUAAACAUGACCAAAAUUCAUCUUGAAAAUGACCAGGGUCUUUUGGUUAUAACCUUUGAAAAAUUUUAAAGAAUUGUAUAACUAUGAUAUUGGAAAUAUGAAAGAAAAGUUCUGAUAUUUUCAUUCAUAAUGCAUGCAAUAUAUUUUGUUCACUUUGUAAUUAUGAGCAUGUAUCCCCACACAAUAAAAAUUGCAUCGA
rnacentral:lncRNA from 1 species